UAUAUUCGAAGAAAAAGGAUGCCAAUUUAAAAUAUGGACGCCAUGAUGAAUAAUAAAUCAAUAAUGAAUCAAUUGAAAUAAUCAAUUCUGGUUUUCGUGAACAUAGGAUAAUCUUUAAUUUCUAAUAAAAUAGAUAUUUUUCAACCUUCAAUGAUUCACUCGAUGAUUUCUCGAUGUACAUUGCAGUAUCAAUGGCAAUAUUUUUCGCAUCUAAUGGAUCCGUGUUUAGAACUGUACGAAGAGGAAUCGAGUGAUCUACUGCUUUUAGGUUGUGUUUACGCGACGAUCAGCGCCGCCAAUUUCCCCCGGAGUUUCCACGGAGAAAGCUUUCGAAAUGGACGUGCAACAGCUGUUACCGUCACUCCUGAUGGAAACUGGCACGCGUUACUCCUCUAUACAACGUUCAAC